rnacentral:rRNA from 1 species
GACGAACGCUGGCGGCGUGCUUAACACAUGCAAGUCGAACGGAAAGGCCUGUCCUUCCUUGUGUUGGACGGGUACUCGAGUGGCGAACGGGUGAGUAACACGUGAGUGAUCUGCCCCCAACUUGGGUAUAAGCCUGGGAAACUGGGUCUAAUUCCCGAUAGGACUGCAGGGUGGUGCCUGUGGUGGAAAACGAUUUUCUAGUGGUUGGGGAUGAGCUCGCGGCCUAUCAGCUUGUUGGUGGGGUAAUGGCCUACCAAGGCGGCGACGGGUAGCCGGCCUGAGAGGGUGGACGGCCACAUUGGGACUGGGAUACGGCCCAGACUCCUACGGGAGGCAGCAGUGGGGAAUAUUGCACAAUGGGCGGAAGCCUGAUGCAGCGACGCCGCGUGGGGGAUGACGGCCUUCGGGUUGUAAACUCCUUUCGACCGCGAGGAAGCCGCCUGGUUGGAAGGGUGGUGACGGUAGUGGUAGAAGAAGCACCGGCUAACUACGUG